rnacentral:ncRNA from 1 species
AAUGGAUGGCGCUCAAGUGUGUUACCCAUACCUCGCCGUCGGCGUUGAAGUGACGCGCCGACGAGUAGGCAGGCGUGGAGGUCGUGAAGAAGCCUUGGCAGUGAUGCUGGGUGGAACCGCCUCUAGUGCAGAUCUUGGUGGUAGUAGCAAAUAUUCAAGUGAGAUCCUUGAAGACUGAAGUGGAGA